rnacentral:rRNA from 1 species
UUUUAAAUUUAGAGUUUGAUCCUGGCUCAGGACGAACGCUGGCGGCGUGCUUAACACAUGCAAGUCGAGCGCUGAAACUUCCUUCGGGACGUGGAUUAGCGGCGG